UACGAAGGGGGCAAGCGUUAAUCGGAAUUACUGGGCGUAAAGCGCGCGUAGGUGGUUCAGUAAGUUGGAAGUGAAAUCCCCGGGCUCAACCUGGGAACUGCUUUCAAAACUGCUGAGCUAGAGUACGGUAGAGGGUGGUGGAAUUUCCUGUGUAGCGGUGAAAUGCGUAGAUAUAGGAAGGAACACCAGUGGCGAAGGCGACCACCUGGACUGAUACUGACACUGAGGUGCGAAAGCGUGGGGAGCAAACAGG
rnacentral:rRNA from 1 species